rnacentral:tRNA from 1 species
CAUUAAGUGUCUGAGCG